AGAGAGUCAAAGAGUGCU
rnacentral:snRNA from 1 species